AUACCUCACUGGUGAGUUUCCGGGUGAUUACGGGUGGGACACUGCUGGACUCUCAGCUGACCCAGAAACAUUCGCAAGAAACCGUGAACUUGAAGUGAUCCAUUGUCGUUGGGCCAUGCUUGGUGCUUUGGGUUGUGUCUUCCCUGAAAUCCUUUCAAAGAACGGUGUUCAAUUCGGUGAAGCAGUUUGGUUCAAGGCAGGAGCCCAAAUCUUUUCAGAAGGUGGACUCGACUACCUUGGCAACCCAAACCUCGUGCAUGCCCAGAGCAUCCUCGCCAUUUGGGCUUGCCAAGUUGUCCUAAUGGGCUUGAUUGAAGGAUACAGAGUUGGUGGAGGCCCACUUGGUGAAGGUCUUGACAAGAUCUAUCCAGGAGGUGCCUUCGACCCACUUGGCCUAGCUGAUGAUCCCGAGGCUUUUGCUGAGUUGAAGGUUAAGGAAAUCAAGAAUGGACGAUUGGCUAUGUUUUCAAUGUUCGGAUUCUUUGUUCAGGCUAU
rnacentral:lncRNA from 1 species